GAUGAACGCUGACAGAAUGCUUAACACAUGCAAGUCGAUGGGGAAGUGGUGCUUGCACCAUGGUAACCAUGGCGGACGGGUGAGUAACGCGUAAGGAACUUACCUGCGGGACCGGGAUAACAGCAGGAAACUGCUGACAAGACCGGAUAAGGUCAUUAAGCUGCAUAGCUUAGUGAUGAAAGGAGACGCCUGCGGAGAGCCUUGCGUCCUAUUAGCUAGUUGGAGGGGUAACGGCCCACCAAGGCGAAGAUAGGUAGCCGGCCUGAGAGGGUGGACGGCCACAAGGGGACUGAGAUACGGCCCUUACUCCUACGGGAGGCAGCAGUGGGGAAUAUUGGACAAUGGGGGCAACCCUGAUCCAGCAAUUCUGUGUGCACGAAGACGGUUUUCGGAUUGUAAAGUGCUUUCAGCAGGGAAGAAGGAAGUGACGGUACCUGCAGAAGAAGCGACGGCUAAAUACGUGCCAGCAGCCGCGGUAAUACGUAUGUCGCGAGCGUUAUCCGGAAUUAUUGGGCAUAAAGGGCAUCUAGGCGGCCUUUCAAGUCAGGGGUGAAAACCUGCGGCUCAACCGCAGGCCUGCCUUUGAAACUGAUAGGCUGGAGUACCGGAGAGGUGGACGGAACUGCACGAGUAGAGGUGAAAUUCGUAGAUAUGUGCAGGAAUGCCGAUGAUGAAGAUAGUUCACUGGACGGUAACUGACGCUGAAGUGCGAAAGCCGGGGGAGCAAACAGG
rnacentral:rRNA from 1 species